rnacentral:rRNA from 1 species
AUGAAUUACACCACCACUUCUCUGCAACCAUUGACACAACAGACUAGGCAGAGCUCUCUCAACUGGAACUUGCUUGUUUUGUCUCGACUCAAUGUCUCCUCUCUGGAUGAACAAUUCUCAGAUGAGGAGAUCAAGAAAGUUGUCUUCACCCUUCCUUCAGGCAAAGCUCCGGGCCCUAAUGGAUACACCACGGAUUUCUUCAAAUGUUGGGAUGUGAUCAAGCAUGAUGUAUCUGCAGCACUACACCAAUUCUUCACCCUCUGUGGAAAGCACCUCCACCUGCUCAACUCUGCCUACAUAACAUUGCUACCUAAACCCAAUGAGGCCAUCAAAGUAAAAGAUUUUCGGCCGAUAAGCUUGAUACACUCAGUGGGACAGAUCGUCGAAAAACUGCUCUCCAUCUGCUUGGCCCCAUUCCUACCACUGCUAAUUCCCUCCUCUCAAAGCGCCUUCCUCAAGUCUAGAAGCAUCCAUGACAACUUCCUGUUCAUCAAAAAUGCAAUCCGUAGCCUACAACAACACAAGGACCCAGCUCUGCUGCUCAAGUUGGACAUUGUCGGAGCUUUGGAUAAUGUUUCUUGGUCCUUUUGA